UGACCUUAUGAGGGAUCAGUCUGAAUUGG
rnacentral:piRNA from 1 species